GCCGGGGUAGCCAAGUGGUUAGGCGGCGGACUGCAGAUCCGCUAUACGGGGGUUCAAAUCCCUCCCCCGGCU
rnacentral:tRNA from 2 species